rnacentral:rRNA from 1 species
GCUCCUUUGACGUUAGCGGCGGACGGGUGAGUAACACGUGGGUAACCUACCUAUAAGACUGGAAUAACUCCGGGAAACCGGKGCUAAUGCCGGAUAACAUGUUGAACCGCAUGGUUCUACAGUGAAAGGCGGCUUUGCUGUCACUUAUAGAUGGACCCGCGCCGUAUUAGCUAGUUGGUGAGGUAACGGCUCACCAAGGCAACGAUACGUAGCCGACCUGAGAGGGUGAUCGGCCACACUGGAACUGAGACACGGUCCAGACUCCUACGGGAGGCAGCAGUAGGGAAUCUUCCGCAAUGGGCGAAAGCCUGACGGAGCAACGCCGCGUGAGUGAUGAAGGUCUUCGGAUCGUAAAACUCUGUUAUUAGGGAAGAACAAAUGCGUAAGUAACUGUGCGCGUCUUGACGGUACCUAAUCAGAAAGCCACGGCUAACUACGUGCCAGCAGCCGCGGUAAUACGUAGGUGGCAAGCGUUAUCCGGAAUUAUUGGGCGUAAAGCGCGCGUAGGCGGUUUUUUAAGUCUGAUGUGAAAGCCCACGGCUCAACCGUGGAGGGUCAUUGGAAACUGAAAAACUUGAGUGCAGAAGAGGAAAGUGGAAUUCCAUGUGUAGCGGUGAAAUGCGCAGAGAUAUGGAGGAACACCAGUGGCGAAGGCGACUUUCUGGUCUGUAACUGACGCUGAUGUGCGAAAGCGUGGGGAUCAAACAGGAUUAGAUACCCUGGUAGUCCACGCCGUAAACGAUGAGUGCUAAGUGUUAGGGGGUUUCCGCCCCUUAGUGCUGCAGCUAACGCAUUAAGCACUCCGCCUGGGGAGUACGGCCGCAAGGCUUAAACUCAAAGGAAUUGACGGGGACCCGCACAAGCGGUGGAGCAUGUGGUUUAAUUCGAAGCAACGCGAAGAACCUUACCAAAUCUUGACAUCCUUUGACCGCUCUAGAGAUAGAGUCUUCCCCUUCGGGGGACAAAGUGACAGGUGGUGCAUGGUUGUCGUCAGCUCGUGUCGUGAGAUGUUGGGUUAAGUCCCGCAACGAGCGCAACCCUUAAGCUUAGUUGCCAUCAUUCAGUUGGGCACUCUAAGUUGACUGCCGGUGACAAACCGGAGGAAGGUGGGGAUGACGUCAAAUCAUCAUGCCCCUUAUGAUUUGGGCUACACACGUGCUACAAUGGACAAUACAAAGGGCAGCGAAACCGCGAGGUCAAGCAAAUCCCAUAAAGUUGUUCUCAGUUCGGAUUGUAGUCUGCAACU